UAUGUAGCUAAGUGCCUAAUACAGAGUAACAUCUUAUGAUCUCAUGCUACUCUGUAUUAGGCACUUAGCUACAUA
ensembl:miRNA